rnacentral:tRNA from 1 species
GAGGAUGUAGCUCAGUGGUAGAGCACUUAACUAGCAUGCUUGAGGCCUGGGUUUGAUCCCUAGCAAUCCCU